rnacentral:rRNA from 1 species
UUAAGCGACUAAGCGUACACGGUGGAUGCCCUGGCAGUCAGAGGUGAUGAAGGACGUGCUAAUCUGCGAAAAGCGUCGGUAAGGUGAUAUGAACCGUUAUAGCCGGCGAUGUCCGAAUGGGGAAACCCAGUGCAAUUCGUUGCACUAUCGUUAACUGAAUACAUAGGUUAACGAGGCGAACCGGGGGAACUGAAACAUCUAAGUACCCCGAGGAAAAGAAAUCAACCGAGAUUCCCCCAGUAGCGGCGAGCGAACGGGGAGCAGCCCAGAGUCUGAAUCAGCUUGUGUGUUAGUGGAACGGUCUGGAAAGUCCGACGGUACAGGGUGAUAGUCCCGUACACCAAAAUGCACAGGUUGUGAACUCGAAGAGUAGGGCGGGACACGUGGUAUCCUGUCUGAAUAUGGGGGGACCAUCCUCCAAGGCUAAAUACUCCUGACUGACCGAUAGUGAACCAGUACCGUGAGGGAAAGGCGAAAAGAACCCCGGCGAGGGGAGUGAAAAAGAACCUGAAACCGUGUACGUACAAGCAGUGGGAGCACCUUCGGGUGUGACUGCGUACCUUUUGUAUAAUGGGUCAGCGACUUAUAUUCUGUAGCAAGGUUAACCGUAUAGGGGAGCCGCAGGGAAACCGAGUCUUAACUGGGCGUUAAGUUGCAGGGUAUAGACCCGAAACCCGGUGAUCUAGCCAUGGGCAGGUUGAAGGUUGGGUAACACUAACUGGAGGACCGAACCGACUAAUGUUGAAAAAUUAGCGGAUGACUUGUGGCUGGGGGUGAAAGGCCAAUCAAACCGGGAGAUAGCUGGUUCUCCCCGAAAGCUAUUUAGGUAGCGCCUCGUGAACUCAUCUUCGGGGGUAGAGCACUGUUUCGGCUAGGGGGUCAUCCCGACUUACCAACCCGAUGCAAACUACGAAUACCGAAGAAUGUUAUCACGGGAGACACACGGCGGGUGCUAACGUCCGUCGUGAAGAGGGAAACAACCCAGACCGCCAGCUAAGGUCCCAAAGUCACAGUUAAGUGGGAAACGAUGUGGGAAGGCACAGACAGCCAGGAUGUUGGCUUAGAAGCAGCCAUCAUUUAAAGAAAGCGUAAUAGCUCACUGGUCGAGUCGGCCUGCGCGGAAGAUGUAACGGGGCUAAACUGUGCACCGAAGCUGCGGCAGCGACACUAUGUGUUGUUGGGUAGGGGAGCGUUCUGUAAGCCUGCGAAGGUGGCCUGUGAGGGUUGCUGGAGGUAUCAGAAGUGCGAAUGCUGACAUAAGUAACGAUAAUGCGGGUGAAAAGCCCGCACGCCGGAAGACCAAGGGUUCCUGUCCAACGUUAAUCGGGGCAGGGUGAGUCGACCCCUAAGGCGAGGCCGAAAGGCGUAGUCGAUGGGAAACAGGUUAAUAUUCCUGUACUUGGUGUUACUGCGAAGGGGGGACGGAGAAGGCUAUGUUAGCCGGGCGACGGUUGUCCCGGUUUAAGCAUGUAGGCGGAGGUUCCAGGUAAAUCCGGUACCUUUUUAACGCUGAGGUGUGAUGACGAGGCACUACGGUGCUGAAGUAACAAAUGCCCUGCUUCCAGGAAAAGCCUCUAAGCAUCAGGUAACAUUAAAUCGUACCCCAAACCGACACAGGUGGUCAGGUAGAGAAUACCAAGGCGCUUGAGAGAACUCGGGUGAAGGAACUAGGCAAAAUGGUGCCGUAACUUCGGGAGAAGGCACGCUGAUAUGUAGGUGAAGCCCCUGCGGGUGGAGCUGAAAUCAGUCGAAGAUACCAGCUGGCUGCAACUGUUUAUUAAAAACACAGCACUGUGCAAACACGAAAGUGGACGUAUACGGUGUGACGCCUGCCCGGUGCCGGAAGGUUAAUUGAUGGGGUUAUCCGUAAGGAGAAGCUCUUGAUCGAAGCCCCGGUAAACGGCGGCCGUAACUAUAACGGUCCUAAGGUAGCGAAAUUCCUUGUCGGGUAAGUUCCGACCUGCACGAAUGGCGUAAUGAUGGCCAGGCUGUCUCCACCCGAGACUCAGUGAAAUUGAACUCGCUGUGAAGAUGCAGUGUACCCGCGGCAAGACGGAAAGACCCCGUGAACCUUUACUAUAGCUUGACACUGAACAUUGAGCCUUGAUGUGUAGGAUAGGUGGGAGGCUUUGAAGCGUGGACGCCAGUCUGCGUGGAGCCAACCUUGAAAUACCACCCUUUAAUGUUUGAUGUUCUAACGUUGGCCCCUUAUCGGGGUUGCGGACAGUGUCUGGUGGGUAGUUUGACUGGGGCGGUCUCCUCCCAAAGAGUAACGGAGGAGCACGAAGGUUAGCUAAUCCUGGUCGGACAUCAGGAGGUUAGUGCAAUGGCAUAAGCUAGCUUGACUGCGAGCGUGACGGCGCGAGCAGGUGCGAAAGCAGGUCAUAGUGAUCCGGUGGUUCUGAAUGGAAGGGCCAUCGCUCAACGGAUAAAAGGUACUCCGGGGAUAACAGGCUGAUACCGCCCAAGAGUUCAUAUCGACGGCGGUGUUUGGCACCUCGAUGUCGGCUCAUCACAUCCUGGGGCUGAAGUAGGUCCCAAGGGUAUGGCUGUUCGCCAUUUAAAGUGGUACGCGAGCUGGGUUUAGAACGUCGUGAGACAGUUCGGUCCCUAUCUGCCGUGGGCGCUGGAGAAUUGAGGGGGGCUGCUCCUAGUACGAGAGGACCGGAGUGGACGCAUCACUGGUGUUCGGGUUGUCAUGCCAAUGGCAUUGCCCGGUAGCUAAAUGCGGAAGAGAUAAGUGCUGAAAGCAUCUAAGCACGAAACUUGCCCCGAGAUGAGUUCUCCCUGAGACUUUAAGUCUCCUGAAGGAACGUUAAAGACGAUGACGUUGAUAGGUCGGGUGUGUAAGCGUAGCGAUACGUUGAGCUAACCGAUACUAAUGAACCGUGAGGCUUAACCUU